rnacentral:rRNA from 1 species
UUGAGCUUGAAUCCUGGCUCAGAUUGAACGCUGGCGGCAGGCCUAACACAUGCAAGUCGAGCGGUAACAGGAAGAAAGCUUGCUUUCUUUGCUGACGAGCGGCGGACGGGUGAGUAAUGCCUGGGAAAUUGCCCUGAUGUGGGGGAUAACCAUUGGAAACGAUGGCUAAUACCGCAUGAUGCCUACGGGCCAAAGAGGGGGACCUUCGGGCCUCUCGCGUCAGGAUAUGCCCAGGUGGGAUUAGCUAGUUGGUGAGGUAAUGGCUCACCAAGGCGACGAUCCCUAGCUGGUCUGAGAGGAUGAUCAGCCACACUGGAACUGAGACACGGUCCAGACUCCUACGGGAGGCAGCAGUGGGGAAUAUUGCACAAUGGGCGCAAGCCUGAUGCAGCCAUGCCGCGUGUAUGAAGAAGGCCUUCGGGUUGUAAAGUACUUUCAGUGGUGAGGAAGGGAGUGUGGUUAAUAGCCAUAUUCUUGACGUAGCCCAGAGAGCC